CGGAAUUACUGGGCGUAAAGCGUGCGUAGGCGGUUUGUUAAGUCCGAUGUGAAAUCCCAGGGCUUAACCUUGGAACUGCAUUUUUAACUGCCGGGCUAGAGUAUGUCAGAGGGGGGUAGAAUUCCACGUGUAGCAGUGAAAUGCGUAGAGAUGUGGAGGAAUACCGAUGGCGAAGGCAGCCCCCUGGGAUAAUACUGACGCUCAUGCACGAAAGCGUGGGGAGCA
rnacentral:rRNA from 1 species